UUUCUACUCCCUCCAUCCGAAAAAACUUGUCAUCAAAAUGGAUAAAAAGAGAUGUAUCUAAAACUAAAAUACGUCUAGAUACAUUUCCUUUUAUCCAUUUUGAUGACAAGUAUUUCCGGAUGGAUCGAGUAUUUG
rfam:Triticum aestivum genome assembly, contig: Triticum_aestivum_CS42_TGACv1_scaffold_211154_3AS